UACGGGGGGGGCAAGCGUUGUUCGGAAUUACUGGGCGUAAAGGGCUCGUAGGCGGCCAACUAAGUCAUGCGUGAAAUCCCUCGGCUUAACCGGGGAACUGCGUCUGAUACUGGAUGGCUUGAGUGUGGGAGAGGGAUGCGGAAUUCCAGGUGUAGCGGUGAAAUGCGUAGAUAUCUGGAGGAACACCGGUGGCGAAGGCGGGUCUCUGGGAAACAACUGACGCUGAGGAACGAAAGCGUGGGUAGCAAACAGG
rnacentral:rRNA from 1 species